UACGUAGGGUGCAAGCGUUAUCCGGAAUCAUUGGGCGUAAAGAGCUCGUAGGCGGUUCAACAAGUCGGCUGUGAAAGUCCGAGGCUUAACCUCGGAAUUGCAGUCGAUACUGUUGUGACUCGAGUCCGGUAGAGGAGAAUGGAAUUCCCGGUGUAGCGGUGAAAUGCGCAGAUAUCGGGAGGAACACCAGUAGCGAAGGCGGUUCUCUGGGCCGGCACUGACGCUGAGGAGCGAAAGCGUGGGGAGCGAACAGG
rnacentral:rRNA from 1 species